AGCAUAUCAAUAAGCGGAGGAAAAGAAACCAACAGGGAUUGCCCUAGUAACGGCGAGUGAAGCGGCAACAGCUCAAAUUUGAAAUCUGGCUUCGGCCCGAGUUGUAAUUUGCAGAGGAAGCUUUGGGCGCGGCACCGACUGAGUCCCCUGGAACGGGGCGCCAUAGAGGGUGAGAGCCCCGUAUAGUCGGACGCUAAGCCUGUGUAAAGCUCCUUCGACGAGUCGAGUAGUUUGGGAAUGCUGCUCAAAAUGGGAGGUAAAUUUCUUCUAAAGCUAAAUACCGGCCAGAGACCGAUAGCGCACAAGUAGAGUGAUCGAAAGAUGAAAAGCACUUUGAAAAGAGGGUUAAAUAGCACGUGAAAUUGUUGAAAGGGAAGCGCUUGUGACCAGACUUGCGCCUGGCUGAUCAUCCGGUGUUCUCACCGGUGCACUCUGCCAGGCUCAGGCCAGCAUCGGUUCUCGCGGGGGGAUAAAGGCCCUGGGAACGUAGCUCCUCCGGGAGUGUUAUAGCCCAGGGUGCAAUGCCCUCGCGGGGACCGAGGUUCGCGCAUCUGCAAGGAUGCUGGCGUAAUGGUCAUCAGCGACCCGUCUUGAAACACGGACCAAGGAGUCAAGGUUUUGCGCGAGUGUUUGGGUGUAAAACCCGCACGCGUAAUGAAAGUGAACGUAGGUGAGAGCUUCGGCGCAUCAUCGACCGAUCCUGAUGUUUUCGGAUGGAUUUGAGUAGGAGCGUUAAGCCUUGGACCCGAAAGAUGGUGAACUAUGCUUGGAUAGGGUGAAGCCAGAGGAAACUCUGGUGGAGGCUCGCAGCGGUUCUGACGUGCAAAUCGAUCGUCAAAUCUGAGCAUGGGGGCGAAAGACUAAUCGAACCAUCUAGUAGCUGGUUACCGCCGA
rnacentral:rRNA from 1 species